UACAGAGGUCCCAAGCGUUGUUCGGAUUUACUGGGCGUAAAGGAUGCGUAGGCGGACAUUUAAGUCAGAUGUGAAAUACCCGAGCUUAACUUGGGUGCUGCAUUUGAAACUGGGUGUCUAGAGUGCAGGAGAGGUAAGUGGAAUUCCUAGUGUAGCGGUGAAAUGCGUAGAGAUUAGGAAGAACACCAGUGGCGAAGGCGACUUACUGGACUGUAACUGACGCUGAGGCAUGAAAGCGUGGGGAGCAAACAGG
rnacentral:rRNA from 1 species